rnacentral:rRNA from 1 species
GGAUUAGAUACCCUGGUAGUCCACGCCGUAAACGAUGUCUACUAGUUGUCGGUUGUCUUGUACGACGGGUAACGCAGCUAACGCGAUAAGUAGACCGCCUGGGGAGUACGGCCGCAAGGUUAAAACUCAAAUGAAUUGACGGGGGCCCGCACAAGCGGUGGAGCAUGUGGUUUAAUUCGAAGCAACGCGAAGAACCUUACCUGGCCUUGACAUCCUGCGAACUGACUAGAGAUAGUUUGGUGCCUUCGGGAACGCAGUGACAGGUGCUGCAUGGCUGUCGUCAGCUUGUUGCU